GUUUUUCCACAUUUAUUGAUCUGUUGUCAUUACAAUUUACAGAACACAAGUCUCAGUGGAGACUUACACACCCCGCAAGAGACAAUAAAACACUGGACAUACUGAAUGCUAACACAAAAGAGGCAUAUAGCCAUGUAUUCACUUCCUCCUUUGGGAAGAUCAAAUCACAACCUGUUGUACCACCUCUCUGUAUAUUAAGCUUUAGUACACAGGGAACAAGCAGAUACUGUGAAAAGAUGUUCUGAGGAGACUGAAGAGGGUGUGAAGGACUGUUUUGAUUCAACCACACUCAGAAAAAUUAUGGUUCUUAAAUGGUUCUUCAGAUGUCUUCAUGGUUCUUUAAAGAACCAUCAUACGUCAAAGAACCUUUUUAUUUUGUAGAUGGUUCUUUAGGUAUUACAAAUGGUUCUUUAAAGAACAGAAGGUUCUUCAUCCUUAGCUAUCUAAGUUUGAUGGUGUAAAAUGGCAUAAAUAUUUAUUCACUAUAAUGAGGGUGUGAAUUAUACUGUGUGUUUUGUUUGUGUGCAUGUGUGUGCGAAGGGGGAGAGCGGGUUACCUGGCAAUUACCCUUUAAGGGCAGAUGGUAGGAAACUGAAUAUUCAAAUAAAAGUUAGAAAUACUUGCUUAAAAAUAUACCGGUGGCAGGGGUGGGGGCCAAAGCCUAAAGACCCUACCCCCCCACACCCCUAACCCCGUAAACUCACUGAUCACAAAUAAUGUGGUAAUAGAAUAUGGAAUUUAUUAUUAAGACAUUUAUGAAUAUGAUGAGUUAACAAACAGUAGACACAAUACACACAUCCAAAUACUGUACCUUUUUUUUUUUUGCUAAGUGAAUGGGUGAAUGACUGAAUGUAGUGUAAAGCGCUUUGGGGUCCUUAGGGACUAAGUAAAGCGCUAUACAAAUGCAGGCCAUUUAGUUUUAAAUUUUAAUAAAGUAUUACUAUUUUCUGCUUCAAGGCAUUACUUUUGAGAUUAUUAUAUGUAUUAGAAAAUAUAGCAUAAUGAUAAUACUAGUUAUUGUAAACUUUACAAACCACCCAGCAGUAUGUAAAGUCAAAUUAUAAAAUACAAGUAAAUAACAAUUACACAACAGAAUGUCAAUGUGUUCAUUACCGACACACUUAGCUUUGACAAAGCACGCUGCUUAGGGUAAAGGAUCUCAGUAGUUGUUUAUCACUGAGCAAUUUGUUAAUAUGUGUUUUGAGCCAAAUAAAUGACAGGGAGAGAGAGAGAGAGAGAGUGACGUUAGGACACGUCGUACUAUGGCAACCUCCCGAAGGUGGUGGGGGGGGAAUCAUUGGAAUGUGCAUGCGCAGACAGAUUGCGCGACCGGCGGGCCUUGAACUUUGUAAGGGAAAAAACACUUUCUCACGGACGGUGACAGCGAAACGGAUAACAGUCUUGAGUACCUGCUGGUCUUUGAAGCUCUGGAUUCUGGGACUGUUGGAAAAGCUCCAACAAAAUGAGGAAGAGGAGGGAGAGAAACACACUUAGAUUGAAUUACAAUUGGAUGGAAGUCGAGGACAAGGAGAAGGAAGCUUAGGAUGAGGAGGAAGAAAAGCAGCAGGAGCAUCUUUAGGUAUCUCUAUGAUGUCAUUGAGGUUUGUUUCAUAAUAUUGUCCUCUCACAAAGAAAGAUGACUUGUUUUAGUUCACCUACUUCCUGUAUUAAGUAGUGAUUUGCAAAACGUUGUGGAAAACCACGGAGCAGGCACGUAUAGCGCACCUGCAGGUAAAUGAACAUCAAAUCUCUAAGACUAAAAUCUGUAUUAUACUUUUAGUCUUAAGAACAUAUGUUGUAUAUUUAUCAUAGAGCUGGGAGAUAAAACGAUAACGAUAUGUAUUGCGAAAUAACUUUUUCUCGAUAGAAAAAUUAAACUAUUGCGAUAGGCCUCAUCUGUCUUGUCCUCUUAAAAAAAAAAAAAAAAAGAACAGCCAAUCCAAAUUAAGUAGCGCAGAGCCGAACCAAUCACAGCCGCAGCGUCACGUCACGUGACUUGUUACGUACAGCACAAGCG
ensembl:lncRNA